GUUCACACUGCAUUACCUCUUUCUGGUCCAGACGAUACAAUCUCCCCUCCCCCCACGCCUCCCAACUGUCUAAUCGCGUACUUCCUGGGGAAAUCAAGCCGCAUUCAUAACCGAAAUAAUUUCAUGGAGUCACAGAGUUCUACAACCACAGAAACAGGCCAAUGAGUUGAGCAAUCACCAACAGCCGAGCCUCUGUACUUCGCUCUGCAAUUGGAUCCUCAGAUUCCUCGCUGGGAGACUAUAAUCAGUGAGGAUCAGAAGUAUCAUCUUCUCCUCACCACCAUCAAUACAGGGGCACCUCAGGGCUGUGUGCUCAGCACCCUGCUCAAUUCUCCACACCUAAACAUAGCUUCAUCUCAAAAGCUGCUGAUGAUACCAUGGUUGUGGGCAGAAUUGUGGCUGAUCAGGCAGCAUACAGGAAUAGGUCAACAACAGCCUUGCACUCAACAGCAUGUAUCCAACUGACCUAUUCCUGUAUGCUGCCUGACCAGCCACAAUUCUGCCCACAACCAUGGUGUCAGCAGCAAGAUCAAGGAUAUGACCAUGGACUUUAGGGAGGGGAUUUUGGAGAAUCACACACCAGUUCUCAUUUGAGGUUCUGCAAUGCAAAAAGUGAACAGCUUCAAGUUCCUGGGUGUCAACAUCCUGAGCCCAGCAUAUACAAACAGCUAUGAUGAUGAUACGCUGGUGCUUGUACUCCCUUAGAAGUUUUAAGAUAUCAUCGAAGAUUCUGGCAAACUACUUGAGAUGUACAAUGGAAAGUAUUUUGACUGGUUGCAUCAAAAUCUGCAAAAGUAGCUUCAAAGCACAGGAACACAAGAGGCUACAAGCAGUGGUGUAUUCAGCCAAUUCAAAGUCAAAAUCGGGUUUACUGUCAUAUGCACAAGAAUAUACAGGUGCAAUGAUAAACUUACUUGUAGUAGUAUUAUAAGCACAGAACAUUCAAGACAAAAUAUUCACACGAGAAAAACAUAAAGCAAGCAUAAAUCAUACAAGAAAGAACACCAUUGGAACAAAAUAAGAAUACAUGAUCCAAUGCAGAACGAAGUGGUCAUAGUGUUGCCUUACUGAGUGAUUUGGUAUGUGCAGGUUGGUUCAAGAACUGAAUGGUUUAAGGGAAAUGUGCUGGAGAAGCUCAGCAGGUCAGGCAGUAUCUAUGGAUGGGAAUAAGCAGUUGAAGAGGUUUUCUAUUUCAAUUUCUCUGUUAUACUUUUAUUAAUCGUAAAACAUAUAAAUACAUGUAAAUAAGCAACAGGACUCAUCCUUUUUCUUGAAAAAAGUUCAUAACUAUUGUUACUAAUUCCUUAAUCAAUGAUAAUCUCAGCUCAGAAUUACAAUGGCACAGGAGACAUUUUUUAAAUAGAUUAUCACCAAUUUAGGCACAUGUUCUUAAAAAGGUGAGCCAUUCUUGGCCAAGGGCAUGUCAUCUUAUGUGUUAACACCCAGGAUUUCAAAACUGCUGACACUCUCCACAGCCAAUCCACCAAUAUAGACUGGCACAUGUUCACCCUUCCUGAGUAAACAAUCAGUUCUUUAACAUCAUCGGCGUUAAGUGAGAGCUUGUUGAUGCAGCACCAUUCAGCCAAGUGUCCUGCACACUGACUCAUCACCGCUUGUGAUUCAUUCAGCAACAGUGGUGUUGUCAGCAAAUUUCUGUAUGCCUUUGGAGUUGUGCUUAGCCACGCAGUCGUAUGUGAAGAACAUAGAACAACACAGCACAGUACAGGCUGUUCGGCUCACAAUGUUGUGCUGACUCUUUAACCUACUGUAUGGUCAAUCUAAAACAUUCCUCAAACAUACCCUUCCAUUUAUCUUUCAACCAUGUGCCUAUCUAAGGGUUCCUUAAAUGUCUCUAAUAUAUCUGGCAAUGCCUUCCACACACCUCCCACUCUCUGUGUAAAAACCUACCUCUGACAUUCCUCCAAAACUUAAUACUAAAACCUCAUAUUAGCCAUUUCCAUCCUGGGAAAAGAAUAUCUCUGGCUGCCCACUCUGUCUAUGCCACUUAUCAUCUUGUGCACUUCUAUCGACCUCUCAUCCUCCUUCACUCCAAAGAGAAAAGCCCUAGCUUGCUCAACCUGCAAAGAGAGUAGAGCAGGGGGCUAAGCAUACUGCCUUAAGGUGCACAUGUAUUGUUAGUCAUUGAGGAGGAGAGCUCAUUACCAAUCUGCUGAUAAGGAAGUUAAGAAUCUAGUUGCAGAGAGAGCUACAGAGGUCCAUGUCUUGAAACCUGAUGAUCAGUUUGAAUGGGUUGAUUGUGUUGAACACAGAGCUGUAGUCAAUAACCAGCAGCCUGACAUAUGACGAAUAUGACAUAGUCCUGACGAAGGGUCUCAGCCUGAAACAUCGACAGUGCUUCUCCUUAUAGAUGCUGCCUGGCCUGCUGUGUUCCACCGGCAUUUUGUGUGUGUUGCCUGACAUAAUGUGUUUCUGUUGCCCAGCUGGUACAGAAGAGAGUGAAAAUUCAGAUCUAUUGCAUCUGCAGCUGACCAGUUGUGGAAUGGGCAAAUUGAAACAGAUCCAGGUACGGCUCUUCCCACCUUCAAGGACAUCUACAAGAGGCGAUGUCUCACGAAGGCAGCAUCCACCAUCAAGGACCCCACUAACUAGGCCAAACUCUCUUCUCGAUGUUGCAUUAGGCAGGAGGCACAGGAGCCUGAAGACCCUCACCUCAAGGUUUAACAACAGCUCCUUCCCCAUUGCUAUUAGGUUCUUAAACUGACCUGAAAGAUCUUAACACUAGCUUAGGCUUUAUAUUUUGUUCUUCCUCCCAGACUUGCACAGGUGUCAUUGUGUUUAUUUUGUUUAGUGUAUAUAUGCAUACGUUAUACAUAAAUUAUGCUAAUGUAAGUUUAAACUAAUUUAUGUUUGUCCUUUGAAUACACUGUUACUGCUGCAAAACAACUAAUUUCCAUAGUAUUUGUACUCUAUUUAUGAAUGCUGAUGACAAUAAAGUUGUAUUUGAACUUG